CUUUACUGAAAUGAAAUCAGAACGGUUGGAUAGGUACUCGAAGUUCUCAAAGUAUGGUUUCUACUAAACAUGCAUGGCUUCCACACCAUCACAAAGUUAAAAAAUCAUUAGGUCAGUCAUUCUGUCUGUAAUAGACUUUAAUAUAAUGCUAAGGUCCUUCAUUUAAUUGUAACAAUACUCAAGUAACACUGAAUUACUCAAGUGUUGCCAUCCUGGAUAAUUUUUGAUUUUUGAUUUUUUUUUUUAAAAGACAGGGUCUUCUUGCUCUGUCUGGGGUGCAGUGGUGUGAUCACAGCUCAUAGCAGCCUCACACUCCUAGGCUCAAGCAACCUUCCCACGUCAGCCUCCAGAGUAGCUGGGACUACUGGCAUUUGCCACCAUGCCCAGUUAAUAAUUAUUUUUUGUAGAGACAGAGUUUUGCCAUGUUGUCCAGAGUAGUACCAAACUCUCGGGCUCAAGCAAUUCUCCCUCCUCAGCCUCCCCAUUGCUGUGAGCCACCACACCCAGCCCCUCUUUGAUGUUUUAAAGUGCCUGCUAGCUCAUCAGCACAGGAGGAAGGGAACUUGGAGCAAUGAUGAGACAGAUGAUUGCCAGCGUUCUGCUUCAUUUCAGUUCUUAAGUUCCUGGAGCGGGGUUUACUGAUGAGUCUGCGUCACCUCGCAGGUGAGCCCGGCCUCCCUCCACUCCUGCACAGCAGGGAGCGCUGCGUGGUGGGCUAGGGUCUGGGGUGGGCACGCUGUGCCCCUCACCCCCGCCACGUGGAGUCUGGCUGAGGGCUCCCUCCCACCUGCCAGUCCUGGCGCUUCGGUUAUUCUGGCUGUGCUGCGUAGUCUCACCCUAGAGAAGAAGGGGGCGCUCUUGCCUCAGCCUUGCAGAGUUUCUCUGCGGCCAAACCACCCUGCAAGCCUCCCUGCACCGCCGGCAGCACGCCACUCCAGGUUCUUGGCCAUAAAAUACUGCUUUUGGAAAAAUAAAGCUGAGAGUCGCGGUGGGGGUGGGGGGCUUCCCCAUCUGUGA
rnacentral:lncRNA from 1 species